CUUCCUGGGAGGCAGUCGAGGAGCCCUGGCUUUACAAAGAAAAGCAAAUGAAAGAUGCACUGCGAGAGGCGGGAGGAAGAAACCCUGAGUCUCCCGAGACUCAAAGUUCUCCUGCAGAAUAGAAGCCGGUAACCUACAAUCUAGCUGGCUGGCUACAUUGAUGGAGGGUCAGAGUGAAACUGGGAAACUAGUUUUCACUGGGGCUCUGUAACCUUGCGUUGUAUUAUAGAAUAUGACUGAGUUGAGAGAGUCGGAGGGAAGGGGAGUUGAUUUAAUGGACUCGGAUGGCCAUGGCAGUUUCUCUUCCAUUCUUCGGCCACACACACAGAAGCGCAAACUAUGUUUCAGGCGGAGUUUCGAUCUUGUCGCCCAGGCUGCAAUGCAAUGCUGCGAUCUCGGCUCACUGCAACCUCCGCCUCUCGGGUUCAAGCAAUUAUCCUGCCUCAGCCUCCUGAGUAGCUGGGACUACAGGCGCCCACCACCAUGCCCGGCUA
rnacentral:lncRNA from 10 species